UACGUAGGUGACCAGCGUUGUCCGGAAUCAUUGGGCGUAAAGCGCGCGUAGGCGGCCCGGUAAGUCCGUUGUGAAAGUCAAAGGCUCAACCUUUGAACGCCGAUGGAUACUGCCGGGCUAGAGUCCGGAAGAGGCGAGUGGAAUUCCUGGUGUAGCGGUGGAAUGCGCAGAUAUCAGGAGGAACACCGGUGGCGAAGGCGGGUCUCUGGGCCGAUACUGACGCUGAGGUGCGAAAGCGUGGGGAGCAAACAGG
rnacentral:rRNA from 1 species